AACCUAGCACACCUGCGGUGUGUACCUGCGGAGGGAUCAUUACCGAGUUUACAAACUCCCAACCCUUUGUGAACCUUACCAUAUUGUUGCUUCGGCGGGACCGCCCCGGCGCCUUCGGGCCCGGAACCAGGCGCCCGCCGGAGGCCCCAAACUCUUAUGUCUUUAGUGGUUUUCUCCUCUGAGUGACACAUAAACAAAUAAAUAAAAACUUUUAGCAACGGAUCUCAGAUCGGAAGAGCA
rnacentral:misc_RNA from 1 species